GCUCAGAACUUAAAGGAAUUGACGGGGCCCGCACAAGCGGUGGAGCAUGUGGUUAAUUCGAAGCAACGCGAAGAACCUUACCAGGCCUUGACAUGCAGAGAACUUUCCAGAGAUGGAUUGGUGCCUUCGGGAACUCUGACACAGGUGCUGCAUGGCUGUCGUCAGCUCGUGUCGUGAGGAUCGUUGGGUUAAGUCCCGUAACGAGCGCAACCCUUGUCCUUAGUUACCAGCACGUUAUGGUGGGCACUCUAAGGAGACUGCCGGUGACAAACCGGAGGAAGGUGGGGAUGACGUCAAGUCAUCCAUGGCCCUUACGGCCUGGGCUACACACGUGCUACAAUGGUCGGUACAAAGGGUUGCCAAGCCGCGAGGUGGAGCUAAUCCCAUAAAACCGAUCGUAGUCCGGAUCGCAGUCUGCAACUCGACUGCGUGAAGUCGGAAUCGCUAGUAAUCGUGAAUCAGAAUGUCACGGUGAAUACGUUCCCGGGCCUU
rnacentral:rRNA from 1 species